AAGGAUGGCACGCGUCAUU
rnacentral:snRNA from 1 species